CAACUACUCCCUCUGUCCCAAAUUUCUUGUCUUAGAUUUGUCUAGAUACGGAUGUAUCUAAUACUAAAAUGUGACUUGAUACAUCCGCAUCUGGACAAAUCUAAGACAAGAAUUUUGGGAUGGAGGGAGUACUUU
rfam:Triticum aestivum genome assembly, contig: Triticum_aestivum_CS42_TGACv1_scaffold_643196_T_7AS-0.089314_5DL-0.047829